rnacentral:rRNA from 1 species
GAUGAACGCUGGCGGCGUGCCUAAUACAUGCAAGUCGAACGAAGCGUGGACGGGUGAGUAACACGUGGAUAACCUCCUAUCAGACUUGUAUAACUUCGUGAAACCUGAGCUAAACCGGAUACUUAUCGAUGGUUCAUCGUUGCAUUAGCUCUUUGGUAAGGUAAAGGCUUACCAAGUCAACGAUGCAUAGCCGACCUGAGAGGGGGAUCGUCAACCCUGGACAUAGGCAACGGUCCAGCCUCGUACGGGAGGCAGCAGAAGGGAAUGUUCCGCAAUGGGCGAAAGCCUGACGGAGCAACGCCGCGGGAGGGAGGAAGGUCUUCGGAGCGUAAAACUCUUUGAGUAGGGAAGCGGUACCUAAUCAGAAAGCCACGGCUAACUACGUGCCAGCAGCCGCGGUAAUAC